CAGCAGCCGCGGGAAAACGGAGGGUGCAAGCGUUAAUCGGAAUUACUGGGCGUAAAGCGCACGCAGGCGGUCUGUCAAGUCGGAUGUGAAAUCCCCGGGCUCAACCUGGGAACUGCAUUCGAAACUGGCAGGCUAGAGUCUUGUAGAGGGGGGUAGAAUUCCAGGUGUAGCGGUGAAAUGCGUAGAGAUCUGGAGGAAUACCGGUGGCGAAGGCGGCCCCCUGGACAAAGACUGACGCUCAGGUGCGAAAGCGUGGGGAGCAAACAGGAUUAGAUACCCCAGUAGUCCCUGUCUCUUAUAC
rnacentral:rRNA from 1 species